rnacentral:misc_RNA from 1 species
AACCUAGCACACCUGCGGUGUGUACCUGCGGAGGGAUCAUUACCUAUUUGGCCUUUGUGGCUACGCUCGGGGGGCCUUUGGCCCCCGUCUGCACCCUUGUCUUUGCGCACUCAUGUUUCCUCGGUGGGCUUGCCUGCCGCUAGGACAACCUAAACUCUUGAAUUUUCAAUCAGCGUCUGAUAACAAUAAUAUUUACAACUUUCAGCAAUGGAUCU